AAAAGUGAAAAUACCUAUUAUUACCAGAAGAAGUUUGCCAACUCCUGGCUUAGGGGGGCUUUCUGCAUGAACGUUGAGAAUAAUUUCUCAGGAACGCCAAAGGAUAGUGGUUCUGCUCAGAGGACCAGAGACGCACCUACGUGCGUCUACCAGGACUUAGAGCACCUACGCAACAUCUGAGAUCCUCGUGCCCCCCUGCCCCGUGCGGAGGGCCUUGACAACGUAGAAGACCAUGCUGAGAAAAAGGAAGGAAAAAGAUUACCCCACCUCACAGGACAGAAUGAGGAGGACAGAGAAGUCAUUAGCGGGACCGAUGAAGUGCGGUCUCAGGUUCCAGCAGUGCCGUCUGGGAGACUGCCUGAUUUCAGCUGGAGAGGAAAGGAUGGGAGAGACAGCCUGUCCCCUGCCCUUGCUGACACCUGUGCCCACCAUGGAAUAUUAGUGGUCUGGAAUCGAACCUGCAAUAUCUUCGAGGUACGCCUGUAUUAAUACAUGCAGCGCACAUCACGCAGCAGAAACCUAAACCAAAAGUAACUCGAAAUGAAGGCUUCAAAUUCCAGCUCAUGUAGCAUCUUCAACAAUUCAUUUGUAAAGAAAUGACAGGACAAAGCAGUUUUAGUCUCCUAGGGCAGCAAACCGUGGGAAGGUAAAUAUAUGAGCGGAAACAAAUGGAGUUAAGUUUGUUUGCAGAUUCCUCUGUUGCGUCUCUGGGCCGGUAAGAGUCUGUCUCUAGUAAAAGGAGAAUUUAUGCCCUGUCUUUAGGUAUAAAAGGGGGAGAUUUUGAUAGGUUUAGCUGCUUCUAAUUGCUUUCAGCUCAAAAUAAUUUUUAUGUUAUAACAGCAUAUUUAGAGGUUUCCUACAUAGGCUACACCUACCAUCACCUCAAAUUCAACUCGAACUUGAUUCCUGAGCCUGCCCGGCUGGUUCACUUCUACCAGUGUUCCUGUUUCUAUGCCUGUACCCACUGUUCUUCAAACCUCUGAUGUGCGACACUUCCAAGGUCACCUUUAAGCCAUCUAUCUCCUUCUCAUCCCUCAUUGAGUCCCACCAACUCUGUGGAUCAUCUCUUCUAACUCUUCCUGGAACCUGUCCUCAUGUUUGGACUGCUUCAGUUUUGUUUUAAGAUUUCAUUAUUAAGUAAUCUCUAUACCCAAUGUGGGGCUCGAACUCACAACCCUGAGAUCAAGAGUCACAUGCUCUACCGACUGAGCCAGUCACGUGCCCAAGGACUAUUUCAGUUGUAAGUGACAAAACCCAACCCAAACCGGCUCAAGCACCAAAAGGACUUUAUUGGCUCACAUAUCUGAAAGGCUGGGUCUAGGCCCUCAUAAGACAUUUUCAGAAAUUGCCUUUCUCCACCUCUUGGGUCUGUUUUCUCUUUGUUGUUUUCAUUAUCGGGCAAGCUUUUCCCAUGCUGUAUCAAAUAUGGAAGGUGAAUGCUUCAUGAUCCUUGUAU